GUUUGUGAAUCUACCAGCACUAAUGCACCGGAUCCCAUCAGAACUCCGAAGUUAAACGUGCUUGGGCAAGAGUAGUACUAAGAUGGGUGACCUCUUGGGAAGUCCUCGUGUUGCACCCC
rnacentral:rRNA from 1 species